UACCGAUUGAAGUUUGAGCUAGUAGUGCAGUAUUUGUCUGUCAUUUCUUUCUUGCUUCAAAGGUUCUACCGGGCAUAUGCCCAAUUCACUGAUAGGAAAUGUAAGUAAUGGCAACAGGUACUGUAAAGUGGUUCAACGACGCUAAAGGUUUUGGUUUCAUCACUCCGGACGAAGGUGGUGAAGAUUUGUUCGCGCACUUCUCCGCGAUCGAAUCCAAUGGCUUCAAGUCGCUCAAAGAAAAUCAGCGCGUUUCGUUCGAAGUCACGACUGGCCCGAAGGGCAAGCAGGCUUCCAAGAUCCAGCCGCAAUAAGCUGAAUCUUACGCUCUAAAAAAUCCCCGGCUUGCCGGGGAUUUUUUU
rnacentral:sRNA from 1 species